GACGAACGCUGGCGGCGUGCCUAAUACAUGCAAGUAGAACGCUGAAGCUUGGUGCUUGCACCGAGCGGAUGAGUUGCGAACGGGUGAGUAACGCGUAGGUAACCUGCCUGGCAGCGGGGGAUAACUAUUGGAAACGAUAGCUAAUACCGCAUAAGAGUAGAUGUUGCAUGACAUUUGCUUAAAAGGUGCAAUUGCGUCACUACCAGAUGGACCUGCGUUGUAUUAGCUAGUUGGUGAGGUAACGGCUCACCAAGGCAACGAUACAUAGCCGACCUGAGAGGGUGAUCGGCCACACUGGGACUGAGACACGGCCCAGACUCCUACGGGAGGCAGCAGUAGGGAAUCUUCGGCAAUGGACGGAAGUCUGACCGAGCAACGCCGCGUGAGUGAAGAAGGUUUUCGGAUCGUAAAGCUCUGUUGUAAGAGAAGAACGAGUGUGAGAGUGGAAAGUUCACACUGUGACGGUAUCUUACCAGAAAGGGACGGCUAACUACGUG
rnacentral:rRNA from 1 species